rnacentral:rRNA from 1 species
GGAGUUUGGCAGAGGGGGGUAGAAUUCCACGUGUAGCAGUGAAAUGCGUAGAGAUGUGGAGGAAUACCGAUGGCGAAGGCAGCCCCCUGGGUCACUACUGACGCUCAUGCACGAAAGCGUGGGGAGCAAACAGGAUUAGAUACCCUGGUAGUCCACGCCCUAAACGAUGUCAACUAGAUGUUGGGAGGGUUAAACCUUUUAGUGCCGUAGCUAACG